rnacentral:tRNA from 1 species
GCCUCGCUAUUUCAAUCGGCAGAAUUUGAGACUCUUAAAGACCUUCUAGGACUUAUUGGAGAUUGAUCUCACGGUUGUGGGUUCGAGUCCCACGUGGGGCG